UCUCCAUGAUGCAAGUCCAAUAGAUCCUUCUGACCCUCCACUGUGGACUCACUAGCAGGGGGCUGAAGAGGAACGUGACUGAGAGA
ensembl:snoRNA SNORD62 Small nucleolar RNA SNORD62